CUACGGGACGCUGCAGUAAGGAAUAUUGCGCAAUGGAGGCAACUCUGACGCAGCCAUGCCGCGUGCAGGAAGAAGGCCUUAUGGGUCGUAAACUGCUUUUAUUUAGGAAUAAACCCCCGAACGUGUUCGGGGCUGAAGGUACUAAACGAAUAAGCACCGGCUAACUCUGUGCCGGCAGCCGCGGUAAUACGGAGGGUGCAAGCGUUAUCCGGAUUUAUUGGGUUUAAAGGGUGCGCAGGCGGGCUAUUAAGUCAGUGGUGAAAUCCCGGGGCUCAACUCCGGAACUGCCAUUGAUACUGAUAGUCUUGAGUUUGGUUGAAGUGGGCGGAAUGUAGCAUGUAGCGGUGAAAUGCAUAGAUAUGCUACAGAACACCAAUCGCGAAGGCAGCUCACUAAGCCAAAACUGACGCUCACGCACGAAAGCGUGGGGAUCAAACAGGAUUAGAUACCCUUGUAGUC
rnacentral:rRNA from 1 species